rnacentral:rRNA from 1 species
AUUGAACGCUGGCGGCAUGCCUUACACAUGCAAGUCGAACGGCAGCACGGGAGCAAUCCUGGUGGCGAGUGGCGAACGGGUGAGUAAAGUAUCGGAACGUGCCCAGUCGUGGGGGAUAACGUAGCGAAAGUUACGCUAAUACCGCAUACGAUCUAUGGAUGGAAGUGGGGGAUCGCAAGACCUCGCGCGAUUGGAGCGGCCGAUAUCAGAUUAGGUAGUUGGUGGGGUAAAGGCUCACCAAGCCGACGAUCUGUAGCUGGUCUGAGAGGACGACCAGCCCCACUGGGACUGAGACACGGCCCAGACGCCUACGGGAGGCAGCAGUGGGGAAUUUUGGACAAUGGGCGAAAGCCUGAUCCAGCCAUGCCGCGUGCAGGAUGAAGGCCUUCGGGUUGUAAACUGCUUUUGGACGGAACGAAAAGGUUUGGCCUAAUAAGCUGAGCUCAUGACGGUACCGUAAGAAUAAGCACCGGCUAACUACGUGCCAGCAGCCGCCGUAA